rnacentral:rRNA from 1 species
GACGAACGCUGGCGGCGUGCUUAACACAUGCAAGUCACGGGGGCCCAGCGAUGGGUAACCGGCGAACGGGUGCGUAACACGUGAGCGACCUGCCCUGGAGUGGGGGAUAGCCGGCCCAACGGCCGGGUAAUACCGCAUGCGUUCCCCGGGGGGCAUUCCCUGGGGAAGAAAGCUCUGGCGCUCUGGGAGGGCUCGCGGCCUAUCAGCUAGUUGGCGCGGUAACGGCGCACCAAGGCGACGACGGGUAGCNGGUCUGAGAGGAUGGCCAGCCACAUUGGGACUGAGAGACGGCCCAGACUCCUACGGGAGGCAGCAGUGGGGAAUAUUGCGCAAUGGCCUAACGGCUGACGCAGCGACGCCGCGUGUGGGAGGACG